rnacentral:rRNA from 1 species
GGCUGAAAUUAGCCUUCAUGAAGCUGGAAUUGCUAGUAAUGGCAGGUCAGCAUACUGCCGUGAAUACGUUCCCGGGCCUUGUACACACCGCCCGUCACACCAUGAGAGUUGGGAAUACCCGAAGCCUGUGAGCUAACUUAUAGAGGCAGCAGUCGAAGGUAGAAUCAAUGAUUGGGGUGAAGUCGUAACAAGGUAAC